UACGUAGGGUGCAAGCGUUGUCCGGAAUUAUUGGGCGUAAAGAGCUCGUAGGCGGUCUGUCGCGUCGGAUGUGAAAAUCCAGGGCUCAACCCUGGACCUGCAUUCGAUACGGGCAGACUAGAGUUCGGCAGGGGAGACUGGAAUUCCUGGUGUAGCGGUGAAAUGCGCAGAUAUCAGGAGGAACACCGGUGGCGAAGGCGGGUCUCUGGGCCGAUAUUGACGCUGAGGAGCGAAAGCGUGGGGAGCGAACAGG
rnacentral:rRNA from 1 species